rnacentral:rRNA from 1 species
GACGAACGCUGGCGGCGUGCUUAACACAUGCAAGUCGAGCGGUAAGGCCCCUUCGGGGGUACACGAGCGGCGAACGGGUGAGUAACACGUGGGUGACCUGCCCUCAGCUCUGGGAUAAGCCUGGGAAGCCGGGUCUAAUACUGGAUAUGACUCCAUGACGCAUGUUGUGGGGUGGAAAGCCUUGUGCGGCUGAGGAUGGGCCCGCGGCCUAUCAGCUUGUUGGUGGGGNGAUGGCCUACCAAGGCGACGACGGGUAGCCGGCCUGAGAGGGCGGCCGGCCACACUGGGACUGAGACACGGCCCAGACUCCUACGGGAGGCAGCAGUGGGGAAUCUUGCGCAAUGGGCGAAAGCCUGACGCAGCGACGCCGCGUGAGGGAUGACGGCCUGGUGUAAC